rnacentral:rRNA from 1 species
GUGUCAGCCGCCGCGGUAAUACGGUAGGGGGCAAGCGUUAUCCGGAUUUACUGGGUGUAAAAGGGAGCGUAGACGGCGCGGCAAGUCUGAAGUGAAAGACCCGGGGCUUAACCCCGGGACUGCUUUGGAAACUGCCAUGCUGGAGUGCUGGAGAGGUAAGUGGAAUUCCUAGGUGUAGCGGUGAAAUGCGUAGAUAUUAGGAAGGAACACCAGUGGCGAAGGCGGCUUACUGGACAGUAACUGACGUUGAGGACUCGAAGGCGGUGGGGGAGCGAAACAGGAUUACGAUACCCCGGUAGUCCACGCCGUAAACGAUGAAUACUAGGUGUCGGGGCCGUAGAGGCUUCGGUGCCGCAGCAAACGCAUUAAGUAUUCCACCUGGGGA